rnacentral:rRNA from 1 species
GAUGAACGCUGGCGGCGUGCCUAAUACAUGCAAGUCGAGCGAACGGACGAGAUUCUUGCUUUUCUGAUGUUAGCGACGGACGGGUGAGUAACACGUGGAUAACCCACCUAUAUGACUUGGAUAACUGCGGGAAACCGGAGCUAAUACCGGAUGAUCCUUUGAACCGCAGGGUGCAAAAGUGAAAGACGGUCUUGCUGUCACUUAUAGAUGGAUCCGCGCUGCAUUAGCUAGUUGGUAAGGUAACGGCUUACCAAGGCAACGAUGGAUAGCCGACGUGAGAGGGUGUAGGCGGACACUGGAGGUGAGACGCCGUCCUGACUCCUAGGGGCGGCAGAAGUAGCGAAUCGUGGGAGAUGGGGGGAAGCCUGACGGAGCGGCGGCGCGUGGGUGAUGAAAGUCUUCGGGCCGGAAAACGCUGUUAUGGGGGAAAAACAUAUGUGUAAGUGACUGAGCACUGUGUGACGGUACCUGGUAAAAAAGCACCGGCUAACUACGUG